GAAUUGAACCUGCCCUUUUUCCUGAAGCCUUGCAAACUGAAGCUGGACACCUUGAUAUAAACUUAAGAGAGAUUCGUGUCUCUUGCUGUGUAAGAUACCUGAACACCUGAGGAUAUCAUCACAGACAUUUCAAACUGCAAAAGAUGCUUUGACUUUGACACAUAGAAAUCUUUUUGACUGACUGCCACCUGGGCUCAGAAAGGUAUCCUAGGCCUCAGGAGGGGGAUUAUCCUGAGAUGGCAUCCUAAGACCUCAUGUUACCACCUGCUGGGAGACUUUUCUUGCCAAACUUACACAGGAGCUCUGUUCAACAAAGAGCAAAUCAAACAAGCACUGGAAAAGAGCCAAGUCCUGAUGAGGGAAGAACUCUCCUCCAGCUGCUGGAGGGAGCAAGUAAUAUCACUGACACUGGGAGAAGCAUUGCUGUGAACAGCCAGCCCUACGAAGAGGAAGUGAAGCCUCCUGCGACAGCCAUGUGAGUGAGAUUGGAGGUUGAAAAUUGGCCCAAGCAAGUUUUCAGGGAUGUAGCCGCAGCUGAUGGCUUGCAUGAGACCUCAGGAGAGAGCCCGAGCCAGAACCACCAUGCUAAGCCUUUCCUGGCUUCCUGACCCUCAAAAACUGUCUGAGAAAAUACAUGGUUGUCGUUGUAAGCUGCUAAAUUUGGGGAGGAUUUGUCACACAGCAAAUAUAACUAUGACACCUGGUUAAAAUGAGUAACUACUGCUUCUUUACCAAUUACAUGUUCAUUCCCAGUUCAUUACUCUCACCUUCUUGAUAAAUGUUAUCUUGAUGUGUUAUCUUGAUAAUGUUGUUCUUGAUAAAUGUUAUUAAAGUUCUCAAUCAUAGACUUACCUCUGCUUCCUGACAGCAUCGAGCCCAGAGCAAAGCCCCCCUUCCUUAAACCCUCCCUAGACUCACCUAACACAGGCCCAAAUCUUAGAAUAAGUUUUUCCUAACACUCGUAUUGAAAUGGCUCAUGGUUCUUAACAGUGUGCGCUCU